UAGACGCGAAACCUAGUGAUCUAGGCCUGUCCAGGCUGAAGCUGAGGUAAGACUCAGUGGAGGGCCGAACUCACCGCCGUUGAAAAGUUGGGAGAUGAGGCAGGUUUAGGGGUGAAAAGCCAAUCGAACUAGGAGAUAGCUCGUUCUCUCCGAAAUGCAUUUAGGUGCAGCCUUAGUUGAAGAUAUGCGGGGGUAGAGCACUGUAUGGCCUAGGGGGCGUAUAGCUUACCGAAGUCAAGCAAACUGCGAAUACCGUAUAUUGUUAACUGGGAGUGAGUCUAUGGAUGACAAGGUCCGUGGACGAGAGGGGAACAGCCCAGACCGCCGGCUAAGGUCCCAAAUCAUGUCUAAGUGGGAAAGGAGGUGGAUAUUCACAGACAACCAGGAGGUUGGCUUAGAAGCAGCCAUACCUUGAAAGAGUGCGUAAUAGCUCACUGGUCGAGAGUAUCUGCGCCGAAGAUAUAACGGGGCUAAGACAUGAACCGAAGCCGCGGAAUUAGUUUAUACUAAUUGGUAGGAGAGCGUUCUGUAGGCUGUAGAAGGGGUGUUGUAAGACAUUCUGGAGGUAUCAGAAGUGAGAAUGCAGGAAUGAGUAGCGAGAAGGAGGGCGAGAAUCCCUCCGGCCGGAAGUCCAAGGUUUCCAGGGGAAGGUUUGUCCGCCCUGGGGGAGUCGGGACCUAAGCAUAAGCAGAGCUGCGAAGGCGAAUGGAAAACAGGUUAAUAUUCCUGUACCGCUGUGUACUGACUGAGAGAUGGAGUGACGCAGGAAGGUAUGCGGGAAGGCUGACGGAAUAGCCUUUCUAAGGGUGAAGCGUGGACAUAUAGGCAAAUCCGUAUGUUUAAACGUGAGGCCUGACGGGUAAGUACCUUAGGGUAUAAGCCGCAGAUCCUACACUGCCGGGAAAAACUUCUAUUUAGGGAAGCAGCGCCCGUACUGUAAACCGACACAGGUGGACAGAGUGAGAAACUUAAGGCCGACAGGAUAACUCUGGCUAAGGAACUCUGCAAAAUGGCCCCGUAACUUAGGGAGAAGGGGUGCCCGUGGUACCUGAAGGGGGAGACACCCGGAGGGGAAACGGGCCGCAGUGAAGAGUCCCAAGCAACUGUUUACCAAAAACACAGGUCUAUGCUAAGCCGGAAGGCGACGUAUAUGGGCUGACACCUGCCCAGUGCCGGAAGGUUAAGAGGAGGAUUGAGAGAUCCGAUUUGAAGCCCCGGUGAACGGCGGCCGUAACUAUAACGGUCCUAAGGUAGCGAAAUUCCUUGUCGGGUAAGUUCCGACCUGCACGAAUGGUGAAA
rnacentral:rRNA from 1 species